AUGAAUCGUGACAACUGUAUUUACAUUCAGCUACUUUCUAGCAAGCUCCUCAAUUUGUUUCGAGCCUCUUCGGACAGAGAGCAGGCUCUGAAUCUUUUCCUUUGUGAUGGACAUGAUUCAACAAUGCUUUCAACAGAGGACAUGCAAAUAAAAAUUACAGUAAGAUUAUCUGUUGUGUGCAGGCACAAUGCUUCUUUAACGAGCUCCCUGGAACAUUAUUGUGGGUCAUCGUGCCUUCUUAAUCCAUGA